AGCAUACAUAACAUUAGGCUAACGAAGGACCAACUUAUGAUUGAUGAAAUUGAAGAGUUAAACAAGAAGCCUCGUGCACCAGGAAAAUAUGGAGCUACACAAGAAACUGAACAUCAUUCGCCGACAGAAUUUAGAUUUGCAAAACAAG